CCAUCAAGAGUGCAGGGAGUGGACAAAGGGGCAUUAGCAUCUCAAGUACUUGAAAUCAUAGAAUAAGAUGCUGGAGGAGGUCAUAAACUAAGUAUUUUUAAAACGGUUGAAAGGAUAAAAGGGUGUUUACAAAAACUUCUGUUAAGUAUAAGACAAUAUGCAAAAUAAAUAAAUAAACUUGAAAAAGAGCCAAAUAGAACAUACACUAACCAAAGUUACAGCAAUUAAAAAAUAGAAUAAACAUCAUACACGGUUUAAACAGCAGACUAAACACAAUUUAAGAGAGUGUUCAUAAACAAGAAGGUAGAUCUGUAAAAUAUCCAGAAAGGAGCAAAAUGCAAUGGAAAACACAACUUAUAGUGGAUAUACUGAAAAACCUUGAUUUCUGGUGAAUGGGAGCUUCAGGGAAGUGACCAGAGACAUAGAGUGAGGAGAACUAUUAAUAGGCAAUGUGAAGAAUUUUCCAGAAUUCUUCUCCUCAAAAAUGAGUUUUAAACAGGAUAAGUAAAAUUUGCUUUUCCGUCGUGGAUAUCAAUUGUUCUCUGAUUGAAAAUUCAAGUUGUUUCCAUUCAUCUUAUUAUAAACAACACCACAGUAAAUAUUUUUUGUAGCAGAUAAAUCAUUUCGUAUAAUUUUUGUCUAUAGAUAAAUUUGUAAAAAUGAGAUGGGUGAGUCAGAGAUGGGUAUAAUUUUAAAAACACAGAUUAAAAAAUAAAUAUUCUUUUGUUUUAUAGCAUGAAAGGGCUGGAUGCUGAAACUUCAGACAUGUUUACUUAGAUUUCAAAACACUGAGGGGCUGACAUCACUGUUUUCUUCUUUCUUCAAAGCACUCAACACGAAAGACCCAACUCACCAUGUGAUUUACAUAUGUCAUGUGCUUUGACAAUGAUGUUGGCAAUCCCUCAUCCAGUUCCGUUAGCAUUCCAGAACCGGCCCGAUCAGUGAAUGACCUUGUCAAGUUUUGGCAACCUCUGAUGCCAUCAUGAAUUGGUGGAACUACAGUUCCUUGGAAGCCCAGAGCAGCCUUUUGCUCAUCAGCUGUGUCCCAGCAUCUAAAUUAUCUCAAGGACUUCUUGCCUCCAAAGCCUACACCCUUGAAACUGUUCACCUCCUGGCCGGGCGUGAUGACUAGACUCUCCCAUGAUAGAAUAAAGGAUUUUGGAAGGCGUACGUUUGGUUCCUA
rnacentral:lncRNA from 12 species